rnacentral:rRNA from 1 species
GCAUAUCAAUAAGCGGAGGAAAAGAAACCAACAGGGAUUGCCCUAGUAACGGCGAGUGAAGCGGCAACAGCUCAAAUUUGAAAGCUGGCUCCGGCCCGCAUUGUAAUUUGCAGAGGAUGCUUUUGGCGAGGUGCCUUCCGAGUUCCCUGGAACGGGACGCCAUAGAGGGUGAGAGCCCCGUAUGGAUGGACACCAAACCUGUGUAAAGCUCCUUCAACGAGUCGAGUAGUUUGGGAAUGCUGCUCUAAAUGGGAGGUAAAUCUCUUCUAAAGCUAAAUACCGGCCAGAGACCGAUAGCGCACAAGUAGAGUGAUCGAAAGAUGAAAAGCACCUUGAAAAGGGGGUUAAACAGUACGUGAAAUUGUUGAAAGGGAAGCAUUUAUGACCAGACUUGCGCCGGGCAGCUCAUCAGGGGUUCUCCCCUGUGCACUCUGCCCGGCUCAGGCCAGCAUCGGUUCUCGUGGGAGGAUAAGAACAGUGGGAACGUGGCCCCCCUCCGGGGGGGUGUUAUAGCCCAUUGUACGAUACUCUCGUGGGGACCGAGGUUCGCGCUCCGCAAGGAUGCUGGCGUAAUGGUCAUCAAUGACCCGUCUUGAAACACGGACCAAGGAGUCGUCCAUUAGAGCGAGCGUUUGGGUGUAAAACCCGCACGCGUAAUGAAAGUGAACGCAGGUGAGAGCUUCGGCGCAUCAUCGACCGAUCCUGAUGUCUUCGGAUGGAUUUGAGUAAGAGUUUUAACGGACGGACCCGAAAGACAGUGAACUAUGCUUGUAUAGGGUGAAGCCAGAGGAAACUCUGGUGGAGGCUCGCAGCGGUUCUGACGUGCAAAUCGAUCGUCAAAUAUGAGCAUGGGGGCGAAAGACUAAUCGAACUGUCUAGUAGCUGGUUACCGCC